CGCAUCUGUGCAUGCAGCAUAUCAAUAAGCGGAGGAAAAGAAACUAACAAGGAUUCCCCUAGUAACGGCGAGUGAAGCGGGAAGAGCUCAAAUUUGAAAUCUUAAAGGGUUUCCCUUUACGAAUUGUAGUUUAAAGAAGUGUUUUCUGUUGAGGUUUUGGUAAAAGUUCUUUGGAAUAGGACAUCAUAGAGGGUGAGAAUCCCGUAUUUGACCUUUACUUUCAACUUUGUGAUACACUUUCAAAGAGUCGGAUUGUUUGGGAAUGCAGUCCAAAAUGGGUGGUAAAUUUCAUCUAAAGCUAAAUAUUGGCGAGAGACCGAUAGCGAACAAGUACCGUGAGGGAAAGAUGAAAAGAACUUUGAAAAGAGAGUUAAACAGUACGUGAAAUUGUCAAAAGGGAAGCGUUUGACACCAGUGUUGUUUUUCUGAAAAUCAAUUAAAGAACUGUUUAUGCUAAGCUGUUUAGACUUUAUCAGCUAACUGUUUAGUUUUGAGCUUUUCUUUAAUGCACUUUUCAGUUAACAAGUCAACAUCAAUUUCUUUUGCUGUAAAAAAGCUUGAGGAAGGUGGCUUGAGAUUCGUCUUAAGUGUUUAUAGCCUCUUGCCUAUGCAGUCAGAGAGAUUGAGGUCUGCAGCGUAGAUCCUUCGGGGCUAAAUGCAUUUGUGCUAAGUUAUAGCAUUUUAUAGACAACUUGUUGACUAUGAUUUGUCUUGUAGCUUACUCGCUUAUGUUAUUUUACCUACGCUUAGGAUGUUGAAUCUGUGCGAGACUAC
rnacentral:rRNA from 1 species